CCAGCCGUCGCGGUUAUACGAAGGACCUAAAUGAAAUAAAAAAUUAAAAUAAGAUAAUUAGAUAUUUUAAAAUAAUUAAGUAAUAAUAAUUGUUUAGGUGAAAUUCAUAUAAUUAUUCAAAAAUAAUCAAUUUAAAAUAAAUAGGUCUUAUAAACUCAGAAACUAAACCCAGGAUUAGAUACCCUGUUAUUCUGAGCUACUUUUUAAUUAGGGUAGUAAAGCAUUCUUCAAACCCAAAGAUUUUGGCGGUAUUUUAUCCUAAUAGAGGAGUUUGUCCCGUAAUCGAUAAUCCCCGUUAAAUCUUACUUUUCUUAAUCGGUUUAUAUACCUCCGUUGUCAGAUUACUUUAGUAGAAUGUUUUCUCAAAAAAUUAUCUUAUGACUUCAGGUCAAGGUGUAACUUAUGGAAAAGAGGUGAUGAACUACAAUAAAAUUAAUUUAAACGAAAUACUUUUGAAAAGGAGUAGGAAGGUGGAUUUAUUAGUAAAUUCCUUUAAGAAUGAAGAAUUGAAUAAGGCAAUAAAAUAUGCACAUAUCGCCCGUCACUCUCCUUAA
rnacentral:rRNA from 1 species